CCUACGGGAGGCAGCAGUGAGGAAUAUUGGUCAAUGGGCGAAAGCCUGAACCAGCCAAGUAGCGUGAAGGAUGACUGCCCUAUGGGUUGUAAACUUCUUUUAUAUGGGAAUAAAAUGCUCUACGUGUGGGGCUUUGCAUGUACCAUAUGAAUAAAGACCGGCUAAUUCCGUGCCAGCAGCCGCGGUAAUACGGAGGGUCCGGGCGUUAUCCGGAUUUAUUGGGUUUAAAGGGAGCGUAGGCGGGUUGUUAAGUCCGGUGUGAAAGGUUGCGGCUCAACCGGAAAAUUGCAGUUGAAACUGGCAGUCUUGAGUACAGGAGAGGUGGGCGGAAUUCGUGGUGUAGCGGUGAAAUGCUUAGAUAUCACGAAGAACUCCGAUUGCGAAGGCAGCUCGCUGGACUGCAACUGACACUGAGGCUCGAAAGCGUGGGUAUCAAACAGGAUUAGAUACCCGAGUAGUC
rnacentral:rRNA from 1 species